AGCCCGGUGGUGUAGCGGUCAAUCAUAUGGGCCUUUGGAGCCUGUGACGACGGUUCGAAUCCGUCCCGGGCUA
rnacentral:tRNA from 1 species